CGCCAGUGUUCUAUGCGCCUCCAUCAUCAUCAUCGCCAUCCUCCUCCUCCCACUCCCCAUCAUCACCAGAAGCUAGGGUUUCCGGGGUUUUCUCUCACCUUACGAGCUGGAUUCUCUCUCCUUUAUCUGGCGAAUCUCCAUGCGCCGCUGGUUCAGCGGUUUUGUUGAUUAGGCUCUGGUGUAUCGGGCCUCUCUCUUUCCCCACAUAUCAUCUGUUUUCUCUCGAUCCCUAAACGCAUC
rnacentral:misc_RNA from 1 species